rnacentral:rRNA from 1 species
GCGAGUGGAGCGGCAGCAGCUCAAAUUUGAAAUCUGGCCCCCAGGGCCCGAGUUGUAAUUUGCAGAGGAUGCUUUUGGUGAGGUGCCUUCCGAGUUCCCUGGAACGGGACGCCAUAGAGGGUGAGAGCCCCGUCUGGUUGGAUACCGAGCCUCUGUAAAGCUCCUUCGACGAGUCGAGUAGUUUGGGAAUGCUGCUCUAAAUGGGAGGUAUAUGUCUUCUAAAGCUAAAUAUUGGCCAGAGACCGAUAGCGCACAAGUAGAGUGAUCGAAAGAUGAAAAGCACUUUGAAAAGAGGGUUAAAUAGUACGUGAAAUUGUUGAAAGGGAAGCACUUAUGACCAGACUUGGCCCCGGUGAAUCAUCCAGCGGUUCCCGUUGGUGCACUUUGCCGGGGUUCAGGCCAGCAUCAGUUCGCUCCGGGGGAUAAAGGCUUUGGGAAUGUGGCUCCCUCGGGAGUGUUAUAGCCCAUUGCGCAAUACCCUGUGGCGGGCUGAGGUUCGCGCUUUAUGCAAGGAUGCUGGCAUAAUGGUCAUCAGUGACCCGUCUUGAAACACGGACCAAGGAGUCGUCCUCGUAUGCGAGUGUUCGGGUG